rnacentral:tRNA from 1 species
UCGCCGGUGGUGUAAGGCGAACAUCGCUGCCCGGAAAGCAGAAGAUGCGGGUUCGAGUCCCGCCUGGCGCA